rnacentral:lncRNA from 1 species
GUCCUAAAAGUGGACCACAGAAACAAGCUGUCUAAAAAGGCAAAAGACAAGCAAAGGUAAGUACAGAAGGAGACGGGCAAAUCCAGGAUGUUGUGUGCUCACCCUUGCCUCCGAUCACGACCGCAGCUGGCUCGAAUCAACGUUGGUAGCUAGUACUCGGACCUGCAUCACGAAAAUAGAUGCAGAGUGUAGUAUGAGUACCAAAACAACAGGUACCCAGUAGACAUCAGACCGACUGAGCAAGAUAAGCAAAAGUGAACUGAAAUGCAAAUAAAGGGUCACAAUCAAGGGUAAAAGAGUAGUAAAUGUGGGUAUGUACACGAGCAUACAAGCAACAAAGAAAAGGAAUCUAACUAACUCCGUCGGGCUCCCAUAAACACGACGGGUACGCUCGUGCACAAUAAAAGAAACCACCUGCACGGACCCCCAUAAGCCGGGCAGAUGGGAGUUCUUUAUUUAGGGCUAGUUUUCGCCCUAGAGCCAAAUCUCAAAAUGGUUUUCAAGGUUUUCAAAGGUUAUGAAAAACCCCAAUUCUUCCUCAAACUCAUGGGUUCUUGCAUUAAAUGGUUUCAAACAAUCUAUUAUGAUUAUAUUAUGGUUUAAUUGAUGUUUCUAGGUGAAAAACUCCAUGGACCCAUGAUCUCCUUAAAUCUCUAAGUUUGGCUUAUGAAGUGGGUUUUAUGAUAAUGCUUGGGUAUUGAUGGAAUUGUACUUAGAUUGAAUUGUAUUAUUGAUUCCUAUUGUUAUCUAUAUCUAUUGUUGGUGGAUUGUUGGUGUAUGGAUGAGUUGAGAAUUAUGGCCUUGUAGGCAAGUCAUGGGUAAAUUCUCUUGUGAUGUUAGAAUUGUUGAGAAUUGGAUAAUGGUGAUUAUGGCUUUGGAGAAUGGUAAGUUGACCUACUUUCAUGCUAUAUUGAAAUUGUUCUUGUUUGGAUUGAUCCACUUAUGGUGGAGGUGUGUACUUAUUGAAUGUGUAUUGAUUAUGGCCUUGAAGGCAUUAUAUGAGUGUUAUUGUAUUGUUAUAUUAUUAUAUAUGAAUGAGGCUAUAUGUAAAGUCCUAUAUGAAGCUAUAUGUGAAGGUAUGAUGUGAAUAAGUUUUAUGUGAAGCUAUAUGUGAAGGAAUGAUGUGAAUAAGUUUUAUGUGAAGCUAUAUGUGAAGGAAUGAUGUGAAUGAGUUUUAUGUGAAGCUAUAUGUGAAGGAAUGAUGUGAAUGAGUUUUAUGUGAAGCUAUAUGUGAAGGAAUGAUGUGAAUGAGUUUUAUGUGAAGCUAUAUGUGAAGGUAUGAUGUGAAUGAGUUUUAUGUGAAGCUAUAUGUGAAGGAAUGAUGUGAAUGAGUUUUAUGUGAAGCUAUAUGUGAAGGAAUGAUGUGAAUGAGUUUUAUGUGAAGCUAUAUGUGAAGGAAUGAUGUGAAUGAGUUUUAUGUGAAGCUAUAUGUGAAGGAAUGAUGUGAAUGAGUUUUAUGUGAAGCUAUAUGUGAAGGAAUGAUGUGAAUGAGUUUUAUGUGAAGCUAUAUGUGAAGGAAUGAUGUGAAUGAGUUUUAUGUGAAGCUAUAUGUGAAGGAAUGAUGUGAAUGAGUUUUAUGUGAAGCUAUAUGUGAAGGAAUGAUGUGAAUGAGUUUUAUGUGAAGCUAUAUGUGAAGGAAUGAUGUGAAUGAGUUUUAUGUGAAGCUAUAUGUGAAGGAAUGAUGUGAAUGAGUUUUAUGUGAAGCUAUAUGUGAAGGAAUGAUGUGAAUGAGUUUUAUGUGAAGCUAUAUGUGAAGGAAUGAUGUGAAUGAGUUUUAUGUGAAGCUAUAUGUGAAGGAAUGAUGUGAAUGAGUUUUAUGUGAAGCUAUAUGUGAAGGAAUGAUGUGAAUGAGUUUUAUGUGAAGCUAUAUGUGAAGGUAUGAUGUGAAUGAGUUUUAUGUGAUCUUGUGAUGAUCCUAUGUAAAGUGGAUAGCAUUGUGAGUUAAAGUAUGAUUUCUCAUGAUGUAUAUAUGAAAUGAUGUUGGAUUAUGAAGUAUCCUUAAAUGAAAAUGUUGUGACUUGGUUGGUAGACUAAAGUGUCCCUCCUUGUUACUUAAAGUCUUGAAUGCAUGAAUGUGUGAAAUGGGCAAAACUAAGAAAUGGUGCCCUUUCAUAAGUCUAGCUUUCCUAAGUAAAUGUAAAACCAUGAAAUCGGUAGACCUAAUGGUGGUAGCCCUUCUCAUGUGUGAAAUGAUGAACCUUGGAUCGGUAGGCCUAAGGCACCCUUCUAGGGGGAUUUAAUGAGCUAUCCUUAUGAACCUUGAUUGGCCAUGACUAAGAAAUGGGGCCUUUCUUGGGAAGAGGUACUAUGAGUUGGUUGAACUAGAAAAGGAACCUUCUCUAAGUACAUAUGUGAUUGAAUACUCUAUGGGAAACAAGGCUAGCACCGAGUGGAUGUGGUUAGGAAGGUGGCCUAGUUGAGUAUGAGAUUAGGCACAAUGAACUUCCUUGGACAUCCCUUAACCAUGUGCCUACAUGGGUUGCUUACUAGUUCUACCUUUGGCAAGUAGAACAACCUCCACGGAGUAGGAUAGACUCCGGAUUCCAUACCUAGCUAGUAUGGUCUAUGUCGGUUAUGCCUAUUCCCAUUAUGUGGGAUGUGCACUCUAGUUAUUGGAUAGGUUCUACAACGUGUAGGUAGUAGUAUGGGAUGCUAUCUACACAUGGCACGAGUAGGCUUUGAAGAUACUAAAGUGAGUUCCCUAAGUCUAACGACUAUUAUGUGAAAGUCCCCUUAUGUGCUUGAAUGUCUCCAAAAUGGUUUCUUAAAGAAUGUUGGCCUAUUGAUGUUAUGUUGUAAAGGAAAUGUCCUUAUCUAAGGUAAUCUUGGGGAACACUUAAGUGUGCUUGAAGAGGUUGUAUGGGCGGUCACUUCUUGUCUUACUCAAGUGUGUCUUAAGGUUAUAUUAGGUAGAGGUCUUAUGGUAAUGAAAUGACAUGUGUCCUUUUAAAGUUAAGCAUGGGUUGUAUAUGGACUUAUGUUAAGUAUGUGUGUGCUUGGCUAUGGUCUUAUAUGUUAAUGUUGACUUGUAUUAUGUCUCUUAUACUUGUAAAGGAAAGGUUUUAUCAAAUUGAUAUGAAAGCAUUUAUUCUUUGAAAAUGUCCUUUUUGGCAUGUUUUUGCAUGGUCUCCAUACUUAGUACUUAAUUGUGCUAACCCCUUCCUUUCCCUUUUUGACUAAAGUGUAGGGAUUUGGAGAUGAUGACAUGUCAUGGCUUUGAUAGGUUUCUAAGUGUUGAAGAUGAAUACUUGGUGAGUCCUCAUAGAUUCGAGGACAAUACCCAAUAUGUUCUUUUAUGUCUUUUUAGUAUUGUUUAAGUUGUGUACGGGAUUAGUCCCGAAUUUUGUACUCUAAAGUAUUAGAUGGUUUGAGACGUCAUGUAUAAAGUCUAGAAAGUCUUCCGCUUGCUAUUAUUUUUUUAUUUAUUUAUGAAAUGUUUUCUUGGUAAAGAAAGUUUUAAAUUCCUUAUGGUUUUAGUGUCUAUGCGAUGAAUGAAUGCUAAGAGACUUGUAUUAGACCUCUUCGAGGUCGAGUACGCCGGUUACGACUAGGGGGUGCUCCCGGGUCGUGACAAUGCACCGGCAGUUGAAGAAAAAUAAUGGAGCUAGAAGGUCUAUCACAAUAUUACCAAUUUUCGGACGUUAACGGAACUAUUCCCAAUUAUAUUCCAAGAUCUCAUUACGUACCAGACUUUAAUCGGAACAUCUCCAACCUUCAAAACCUCAACCUACAGAUGAGAGUAAUCAGGACUAAACUGAAGCUUCAGUAAGGAAUUGGGAAUGCACCACGUGCAAGCUGGACCACGGACUCGAACCGGGUACUAUAGCUAAUGAGUCAACCUAUAUGGGCUGGACCACGGACUCGAACCGGGUACUGUAGCCAAAAGGUCGGGCACGGGUGGGUUGGACCACGGACUCUAACCGGGUACUGUAGCCAAAAUCAGAUCACAGGUAAGCUGGACCACAGACUCUAACCGGGUAUCUGUAGUCGAUAGAAAAGCAGGGCAUUAUGGAUACAAGGUCAUAAGCUGAGUUACCACCUAGCUAAGGCUCAGACUAGCAGACUCCAGUUUGCUAUAUCAGUCUACGAGGAGCUAAUCGUCCGAAAUGACGUCGGAAAAAGUUUCACUGCCCAACGACAUCCGAAACCUCGCAAGUCUAUGGCAACACUAGUCUAAGCCUAGACUAAGGCCAAACAUAUUUCAAAUCAAUAUUAUCAUAUACACCACAAGGUAUGGAUGUUCAAUAAUAUCAAGAGUCAUGCUGUCAUAAUCCAACAAUUUCCCGAAAUAAGGUCUAAGGCAGGAAUUAUAGAAAUUUAGCAUGCUCGACACCCGAACCCCUCCAUACUCAAGCAAAUCAAUAAACAAUUGCCUAAACAUGCUCAAUCUCACGAGGAGAAAAUCAUAGCCUACCUGAAAGCCGAUCACGCGUGCUCCAACUCACGGUACCGGAGCUUUUCCCCUCCGAACGGUCUCCAAUUGCUUC